rnacentral:misc_RNA from 1 species
AAUGCGAUAAGUAAUGUGAAUUGCAGAAUUCAGUGAAUCAUCGAAUCUUUGAACGCACCUUGCGCUCCUUGGUAUUCCUUGGAGCAUACCUGUUUGAGUAUCAUGAAAUCUUCAAAGUAAAUCUUUUGUUAACUCAAUUGGUUUCUACUUUGGUAUUGGAGGUCUUUGCAGCUUCACACCUGCUCCUCUUUGUUCAUUAGCUGGAUCUCAGUGUUAUGCUUGGUUCCACUCGGCGUGAUAAGUUAUCUAUCGCUGAGGACACUGUAAAAGGUGGCCAAGGUAAAUGCAGAUGAACCGCUUCUAAUAGUCCAUUGACUUGGACAAUACUUUUAUGAUCUGAUCUCAAAUCAGGUAGGACUACCCGCUGAACUUAAGC